CCGUUUUGCUUGAAGUUGCAGU
rnacentral:miRNA from 1 species